GUGACCGCAGACUAGCAGUCACUGCAGCUCACACAACGAGAGGAAGAGAAGAAAGAGAGAGAUGACUGCAUGCCUUGUCCUUUUUGUUACCUGGACAGGUAAGGUCACACCCACCUCUAGUCACACGCAAGAGGAAGUAUGUCCCGGCUCAGGAGGAAACAGGAAGUUUUUGACUGGCUGGAACAAACAUCGCCUUUGCGUGUCUACUCUAGGAAAAUAAGGAAUGUUGUACUUGACUGCUUCUUGUGUUUCACAUCCCACAGGACCUUCGUCUGCAAUGGCUGCUAAGUUAGAGUUGCCCUAUUUCAAAAAGUGAAAAUCCGGAUGGAAAAGUUGUUGAGCUAGCACUGUUUCCGACGGCCCUGUCCAACCCUAUGAAUGUUCAAAGUGGCCAAAUUUGCUGCAUUUUUUAAAACUCGCCAGCUACUUCCCAGAUGGCUCCUGGUGUGUCCAGCUUCCCUGGAGGGGAGUUUCACCUCUCCAAAGCCUUCCAGGUGCCGAGACGGGACAGUGACUAACCAUUUGCACGCUUGGUUAUCUUGAAGUAAAAAAAUGUCCACAGUUCACUUCAGUCUGGAGCAGGCCCGGUUAGAGAGGCCUCUCACCAAAGUGCCUUCCAGAGACCCCCUCUUAUUUCUGUGACUUUUCCACCGCAACAACAGGUGUUAUCUUGGGG